UGGGUUAAGAAUUGCAAUUCCAUUCAAAAUGGAAUGAAAAUGAAACCAUGGCUGGACCAAAAUGUCCUCUCUUACUUUCCCCAAUUAUUUCCCCAAAUUGAAACAUGGGUUGAAAUCAAUGAUUUGCAUAAGCUCACUAGCUUCAGAUUGUUUAUCCCGAUUAAAGGUAUUUUAUCAAGGCUGGAUAUAAGGUUAUCUUUUUGUAUUAGAGGGUAACCUACCAGCCGUAUUGUAGGUUUCUUCCUGAGGAUCCUUUGCUGGAAUGCUUUGAGCUCGUUGAUGAUUUCAAUUUUUAAGGUUCAUCAAGCAAGAUUAAGAGGUGAUAAGAUAGAUGUUGUUAACGUGUAACAUCUGAGAAUCCAGGAUCUUAUGAUGAUCGACAUCCGUAACUUGCAAGCAUUUGCACUAUACAUUCAGCGUCGAAACCUUUUUAGAAAUUGACUUUUAUUUUAAAUCGAGAAUGGAGUCGCCAUUGAUCCUUUUUAUUUAGUGUGAUCGGGUCACCUUGAAAUUUAAUCAUUUUAAUAAAAGGUUAUAUUUACCAAAA